CAUAGGUUAAUGAGGCGAACCGGGGGAACUGAAACAUCUAAGUACCCCGAGGAAAAGAAAUCAACCGAGAUUCCCCCAGUAGCGGCGAGCGAACGGGGAGCAGCCCAGAGCCUGAAUCAGUGUGUGUGUUAGUGGAAGCGUCUGGAAAGGCGCGCGAUACAGGGUGACAGCCCCGUACACAAAAAUGCACAUGCUGUGAGCUCGAUGAGUAGGGCGGGACACGUGGUAUCCUGUCUGAAUAUGGGGGGACCAUCCUCCAAGGCUAAAUACUCCUGACUGACCGAUAGUGAACCAGUACCGUGAGGGAAAGGCGAAAAGAACCCCGGCGAGGGGAGUGAAAAAGAACCUGAAACCGUGUACGUACAAGCAGUGGGAGCACGCUUCGGCGUGUGACUGCGUACCUUUUGUAUAAUGGGUCAGCGACUUAUAUUCUGUAGCAAGGUUAACCGAAUAGGGGAGCCGAAGGGAAACCGAGUCUUAACUGGGCGUUAAGUUGCAGGGUAUAGACCCGAAACCCGGUGAUCUAGCCAUGGG
rnacentral:rRNA from 1 species